CUUGGUCAUUUAGAGGAAGUAAAAGUCGUAACAAGGUUUCCGUAGGUGAACCUGCGGAAGGAUCAUUAACAAAUUGUGUGUGCGCGGGGUGUGGUGUGUGUGCGCUUUAUACGCGCCGCAUACUAUCCCGUGUGACAUUAACCCGGAGCCAUUCGGCUCCGAUAUUCACGCUUGUUUGUAUGACAGAGUUAUCACGUGACAUGAAAUAUAUACAACUUUUAACAAUGGAUCUCUUGGCUCUUGCAACGAUGAAGAACGCAGUGAAAUGUGAAAAGUAAUGCGAUUUGCAUGAAUCUGUGAGUCAUCUAAUCUUUGAACGCACCUUGCACCCUCUCAUGGGAGGGUAUACGUGUUUGAGAAUCGUAACAGUAUCUUGUCUCUAGUCCUCAGAGGCAGACUUGAGCGCCCAGAGCGCUUUAAAUGCAGUAGUGUAUCUCUGCGCGACUCGCGCUUGGUGGACACUGUGUGCUGGAGACCUUGGUGUCUACUCACGGUGCGUCCCCUUGCGUAUGCGCAGAAGCAAGUGCACUCGUAAACGUGUGUGCGCAUAAUAAUAAAAGCGUGUACACAGCAACUGAUCUCAAAUCACGUAAGACUACCCGCCGAACUUAAGCAUAUCAAUAAGCGGAGGA
rnacentral:rRNA from 1 species